rnacentral:rRNA from 1 species
AUUGAACGCUGGCGGCAUGCUUUACACAUGCAAGUCGAACGGCAGCGCGGGCUUCGGCCUGGCGGCGAGUGGCGAACGGGUGAGUAAUACAUCGGAACGUGCCCAGUAGUGGGGGAUAGCUCGGCGAAAGCCGGAUUAAUACCGCAUACGACCUGAGGGUGAAAGCGGGGGAUCUUCGGACCUCGCGCUAUUGGAGCGGCCGAUGGCAGAUUAGCUAGUUGGUGGGGUAAAGGCCUACCAAGGCGACGAUCUGUAGCUGGUCUGAGAGGACGACCAGCCACACUGGGACUGAGACACGGCCCAGACUCCUACGGGAGGCAGCAGUGGGGAAUUUUGGACAAUGGGCGAAAGCCUGAUCCAGCAAUGCCGCGUGUGUGAUGAAGGCCUUCGGGUUGUAAAGCACUUUUGGCGGGAACGAAAAGGACUGUGCCAAUACCACGGUUCGAUGACGGUACCCGCAGAGUAAGCACCGGCUAACUACGU